AAAAAAAAAAAAAAAAAAAUCUCAAAAGCCAGCUUGCUUGGAGAAAACUCUUUUAGAGCCAGGUACAAGUCAAGCCCCUUCGAUUCGACAACAAGAGUCGGGUAUAAAUAGUUUUUUGGUCAGCUUUCCUGUUCUUUCAGACGCUGCAGUGUCUAAUAUGAGGUUCCUCCUGCCUCAGACAGCUUCGAAGUUCCCAUUGAUUAUAGAGGGAUGAAACCACUAAACUUGUUUAUGCUCCUGGAGUGCUCUUUCUAUAAAAAAGAAAUUGGUUUCAAUCAAGAUUUUCCUGACUUCUUAGGCAUAUGAGGAAUCGGCCUAACAUCUUUUCGAUCGAAAUCCCAAUCUUUUGGAUUAGCUUUGUCUCUAUAAGGGCAUCGGCUAAGCCUACACCGUUUCGUUUAAUGCUUAUUUUCCUCAAAUGGUGGGGCCGAGCAUAGAGAACUGAGAAUGAUCGAGAAUGUCGAUGGACUGAAAGUUGCACCAACAAGCAGAGCUAUACAAUCUCUUUUGCCUCCCUAUGACGUUGAAAAGUUAAUAGAAAAACUAGCAUUCGUCUCGCAUGUGCAGCAGGUCUUCGACGAAGGAUAAAGCAGCGUAUUAACUGUUAGGCCCACAGUUUCUGAAUGGAUUGACGAAGUUUGGAAAGGAUGUCUUUGCUUUGUCUUCGCCAAUUGCUUGAUUUAUUUGAGGUCCAUUCGUGAGCCUCGCUUACCUAUACUCUGAAUGUUUAGGUCUCUGAUUAAUACAUCUUCUACAGCCGUCUGGAGCUAGUUGAGAGGUGGCUUGAUUAUUCAUUCAUUAAUCCCUUUCAGCAUCCACAGUGUAAGAUACAAAUUCCUUUUAUCUCUCUUUGUUGGUAAAUAUGGUUCGCAAUUUUGCUUGGAUUGGUUUUGAAGUUUUUGAGUCCUUAAGGAACUAAUAUAUUUUUAAAUAACUGUAGAAUGAAAUAUACAUUCGUAAACCAGAUUCAUUUAAUAAUUGAUAAGCGUAGAUUUUAUACUUCCCAAGCAUUUGAUUGAUUUUUAAAUUGAAAAACAACCCCAAUUUGAUGGCUAUCCUUUUU